rnacentral:rRNA from 1 species
UACGUAGGGCGCAAGCGUUGUCCGGAAUCACUGGGCUUAAAGGGCGCGUAGGCGGGCUGUCAAGUCUGGGGUGAAAUGCCGCGGCUCAACCGUGGAACUGCCUUAGAUACUGACGGCCUCGAGGAAGGUAGGGGCAUGCGGAACUGUAGGUGGAGCGGUGAAAUGCGUUGAUAUCUACAGGAACUCCGGUGGCGAAAGCGGCGUGCUGGACCUUUUCUGACGCUGAGGCGCGAAAGCUAGGGGAGCAAACGGG